rnacentral:rRNA from 2 species
CCGUCCAGACUCCUACGGGAGGCAGCAGUGGGGAAUAUUGCACAAUGGGCGAAAGCCUGAUGCAGCUAUACCGCGUGUAUGAAGAAGGCCUUAGGGUUGUAAAGUACUUUCGUUGGGGAGGAAAAAUAAAUAGAUAAUACCUGUUUAUCGUGACGUUACCCAAAAAAGAAGCACCGGCUAACUCCGUGCCAGCAGCCGCGGUAAUACGGAGGGUGCAAGCGUUAAUCAGAAUUACUGGGCGUAAAGAGCUCGUAGGCGGUUUUUUAAGUCAGAUGUGAAAUCCCUGGGCUUAACCUAGGAACUGCAUUUGAAACUAAAAGACUAGAGUAUCGUAGAGGGAGGUAGAAUUCUAGGUGUAGCGGUGAAAUGCGUAGAUAUCUGGAGGAAUACCUGUGGCGAAAGCGGCCUCCUAAACGAAUACUGACGCUGAGGUGCGAAAGCAUGGGGAGCAAACAGGAUUAGAUACCCUGGUAGUCCAUGCCGUAAACGAUGUCGACUUGGAGGUUGUUUCCUUGAGAAGUGACUUCCGAAGCUAACGCGUUAAGUCGACCGCCUGGGGAGUACGGUCGCAAGGCUAAAACUCAAAUGAAUUGACGGGGGCCCGCACAAGCGGUGGAGCAUGUGGUUUAAUUCGAUGCAACGCGAAAAACCUUACCUGGUCUUGACAUCCACAGAAUUUUUCAGAGAUGAGAAAGUGCCUUAGGGAACUGUGAGACAGGUGCUGCAUGGCUGUCGUCAGCUCGUGUUGUGAAAUGUUGGGUUAAGUCCCGCAACGAGCGCAACCCUUAUCCUCUGUUGCCAUUGGUUCGGCCAGGAACUCAGAGGAGACUGCCGGUUAUAAACCGGAGGAAGGCGGGGACGACGUCAAGUCAUCAUGGCCCUUACGACCAGGGCUACACACGUGCUACAAUGGUGUAUACAAAGAGAAGCAACUCUGCAAAGACAAGCAAACCUCAUAAAGUACAUCGUAGUCCGGACUGGAGUCUGCAACUCGACUCCC